rnacentral:lncRNA from 1 species
GUCCUGACCUUGUAGCAAACUGAGGCUGUGUCUCUGACUAAUGAAGCAAUCUAACAAGGUGAAUAGGAGAACGAAACUGAAGACCCAGUAUCACACUUAUAAAUUUGAAAAACAAUUUGAAAAUUUCUCCAGAAUAUUUCUUUUUCUUUUUAAUGCCUUUAGUUAAAUUUCUCUAAUUUUUAGUGCUUUAUUCUUUGCUAUCGAGAGGGUUUGUACGUUAUAUCUGUGAGUAGAUUUUUAUGGGGGCAGUGUCAUGUUUGUUUAGUGCCUACGAUCAGUUCCUGGUAUUUAAUGAACUCUGUAAUAAAUUACUGGAUAAGAGAAAAUUUUUAUUACAAAUAAAUGCUCUCUGAAUUAUUGUGGGAGUUUGUUCAUACCCCUCAGUCUGAAUUUUAAACACACACUAGAGCAUCUUAGGUGUUCACAAUUCUAAAUUUCAGUUUCCUCUAUUCAUACUUCUCAAUGUGUUUUAAAAUUAUUUUUUUACAGGCAAAAAGCUUAGCUAACCAUCCUUCUCCUUUUGUGAGAUUCACAACUUUCUUCAAAUCUUUUGUUUUUAUUUUUAGAGGUAAUUUAACAUAUCAUAUAACUUGUAAGUAUCAGGCCAAAUCAUCCGUCUUGUUUCAGUUUAGAAAAAUGUUAGCAUCAAGUUCCCUUGCUGCCAAAGCAUAGAUUUCAUGCUGUUCCAUCAUCCUUCCUACCAAGGGGAGAAUAUGUGCUCCAUUGCCAACACUCCACCGGGACUCUUGACAAAGGAAUUUUAUUAUGCCCACUUUCAAAUGGAUGCAGGGAAACUCUUGCCAGGAGCAUGGCAGUGGCUACUGUUCAUACCCCAGUAUUGCUGUGUGGUCAGGUCAGGACUUUUUUCUUAAUACUUGCUGGGUCAGACUUUCUUGUGGGUUUGUAUGUGGGAGGUAAGGCAGACACUGUUUGUCAAGGAUAGGCCCUCUGCCUCUUGUGUAGGAAGAUUACUGCCACGUGAGGGUAGGGCAGGAGCCCAGGGGCUAUCCCAGAGCCUGAGCCUUUGGAUAAUUUGCUCCCUCUCCUGUGUGCAAAUAGGCUUGCACUAGAGCAAGAGAAUUGUAUUCCUGGAAUGGGUACCUCACUGCCCGUUUUGUACUCCGAGGUUGAAAGUCAAGCAUCUUUGGAUGUUGCAUUAAGUCAUGUAUUGUAACCAGAUGCCAGAAGGAACCCAACCAUUGAAAAGAUUCCCCAACUUACCUGUGUAUUGAAGGCUACCAAUCUAAGGUAGCAGUGAAUGUUCCAUCAAAUCUAGUCAUCCUUUCUUGGGCAUACAUCUCAUUAACUAAUACCACUAAUUCAGUGUGAAUUGUAUGUUCCCAUCAAAACUGAAAAGAACCCACUGGUGGUAUUCUUCAGGGGAUGGUCAGAGUCCAAAUCCAUGCCAGAAAUACCCCAUACAUGUGGUGAAGACUACCAGAUUAAAGAUCUUCAAUUCCAACUUCAAAGGAGUAGCCAUGUUAAAUAUAGGUUUAAUACCUGCAAGUAGAUUUAAUACAGAGAUAAUUAUAUAUAAUAAUUAUUGCUGAGAGGUACUUUUUACAGAAUAGCUACUUAAUAAACUCAGCAGUUUAACUGGAUCAAACGUAGCAACUAUUUAGAUAUGAAGAUAAUCACCCUCCUGGUUGGAAAAUCAAAACGUUUAGUUUGGGAACUUAAGAAUCAUACGCCAGGAGUGAAAAGUAUCUCUUUAGCAUAGUAAUCAGAAAGUUGUCAUUGUCCUUGUGACCAGCGCUUCCAUCCCUAGGUGAUUUGAUUUUAAAAGGGUACUGAUAAUCAGAUAGACACUGCUUUACUAGAAGAAUCUUGAAAUUAAGAGGUGGCCGUGUUGAGGAUUUCUGCUGCUAGGUAGAGAAUAAUUUUCUCUGCCUUUGCAUUAUUCAUUUCACGUAAAUUUUGAUAGAGUUCAUCACUGUGACUAUUAUUUCAUUUACCACAUUUUAUGGGUUUAUAGCACAAUUUCCACAGUAGGAUCUUUUUUCUUUUUCCAUGUUAACAUAAAUAUGUGUAUUCCUGAUGGAAAAAGGAGCCUAUUUAGAAGGAAGUGAUUGACAUAUAUCACCCUAGCUCACUGCUUUCAGAACUUAAUGCAGGAUGACCAUCCUCUCCAAAAUGUCUAGAAGUAGGCUUUUUAGGUCACAAUAUUUAUGUACCAUAUAAUUAUGCACCUGCAGCAAUUAACACCUACUGCAUACACCAGGCAGCAUACAGAUGAUUUUCUAUGCUCACAACUACGCUGUGAAAUGAGAAUGUAGAUUCCUCAGUUUUACGACUGAGAUUCUCAGGUUCACUGCUUUCCUCUUUAUACCACUAGUGUAAUGGAAGAGCCAGGAUUCUCAACCAGGGAUUCUCUGAUCGUAGAGCCCAUGUUCUUUUUACAGCCACAUACACUGCAAGGAAUUCAUCCUCUUUGAAAGAAAUCUGGGGCUUAGAAAAGACCAGAAUGAGGAUAUGCACAGUGGGCGUAUGUUCCACGGCACCCUGCAGGCCUGCAGACCUUGUAGUGGCCCAGCCUCGAGACUGAAGAAAGAGCUCAGAGACAGUGACAGAGACAUCAAUGGUUUAUUGGACAGAGGAUCUUCUUACAAGUCUGAAGCAAUGGGUCCUGGAGUAAUGCCUCAUCACGUACAGUGGACGACAGGCAGAACAGAACAGCAAUCUUUGCUACUCAAGGGAGAAGGAGGCUACACUUUAGAGGGAGUUUCCAUCAGUUGGAUCAUCAGUUACCAGGGAAACCAGCAGCUGGGUCACGUCCCUUACAGCCCCUCAGAUUAACAUCCAUCCCUAGGGCAGAUGUUUCCCUUUAGUAAACUAGCAGGUGGAGCCUUUCUGGCCUAAGGAUUAGAAACAUCACUGGCUGGAGCAGGGUGUAGGUGAAGCAGGGACUGGUGGAGCAGGGGAUGUACAGAGAACAAGAGAACAGUCAUCUUGAGUGGCCUGGCCAUACAGCCUGACUCUCACAGUAACCUGAAACUGCUCCAUGAGCACCUUUGGACCUCCCACAACUUGUGUGGUUUUGUAGACUCCUAAAACUAUAGCCCUGGAAACAGUUCCCACAAUUCCCAAGUGGUCAUCCAGCCUGUGUCUGGAUGCUGCCUGGAUUCUCUUGAGGCAGUGUGUCCUCUUCUUGGAAUAGCACCACCCAUAGAAAGAUCUUCAUAUUCAGCUAAACUCCAUCUCCUGAUGCUUCCAUGUAGAAUAAGGCUAACACACCUUCUGCAUAACAGUCCUUGAGAUACUUAAAGAGGAUUUCAAAUCCUCGCUUUUUUCCCCCAAGCAGUCCGAGUGCUUUUGGCUGAGCUCUAUAGGACAUGGUUAUCUCUCCCCUGUGAUUCUAUAUUCUCUUCCUUGAAUACUGUGCAGUCUUACAAGAUAGCACUAAAAAUCCAAGCACAAGACAUCCAAGAAUGAUUUAACCAGUACAUACUAGAGUGGCACCGCCACCUAGGAUCUUAGAGGUUGUACAUCUAAGGUUACAUUUGGCAGCCACAUGAAGUGUUGUGACUUAAUGAUAGCUGAGCCCCCUUCACACUAUCCUCUCACCUCAACAAAUGCAAGUCUCAGUUUCCAGCAAAACUUGAGAAUUCUGAAAUAUUCUCAUAGUUUCAGGAAAGAACCCUAAGGAAGAGAGUCAAUGUGCACAAGUUUUUUUCCAAGAAAACAGGUGAGAAGAUGGAGGGGCAGUUUUUAGCAUAGCAGGUUUUUGUCUUUACUCUGACACUCUGCACUUGUGCCAGAGUCUUAGGAGGGCUAAGGUAUGGAGUGACUGGUCAGAAGUAAAUGUAUAGAAAUGGUAUUUCCCAAAUGUCUGUGAGAUUUUAAGAGACAGAAGGAAGUGCUUCUGACAGACUCAGGUUCCAGUGUGGAAGUCAUUGAUUUUGCUCAUCUCUUAGUUCUUACAGUACCCUGGAACAUAAUUCACCAUGGCCAGGAUGAAUCUGCUGUACACAGGAGUGAUCCUUCUAACCUGCCAUGUCCAUAGUUAUGUGAGAAUCUAGGAUGGAGCUGAAAGAACUGUAUCUUCCUGGAUCAUACCCAAAAGGUCUCUAAGUGCACUGAUGACAGGAAAAUCUUCAGUGGUUCCAGAGACAAGCUGCUGGAAAUCCUGCACAUUUAUUUUCUAGAAGGAAAUGAGCUGAUGAGGAAUAAUCCCUUCAGAGAUCCUCCCUUUAAAAAACCUUAAAGGACUCCAAAUUAAAGCAUAGCCAUUUCUGGGACCCUAAAGUGACUCAAAAAAAGGAAACAUCACUUACUUAAUGUUAGGUGAAUUUCAAAAGCCUUAAUAAGGGGAGAGCAAAGGUAGGGAGAAAGAUGGUGAAUAAAUUGUGAGAACCUACCAAGUAAAGAAAUAUCUUUUAAAUUCCACGCAUCAUGUUUUAUUUCACUUUGUAUUUCAAUUAAAAAAGGAAAAAUAUGCAUUUUAAAAAGAUAUAUUUUUUGCUAUUAAUAUUAGCACUUAAUGUCUGAGUACAGAUCCAUCAUUCAUUAGGUCUACAGUAGCCCACAGCCCUAAUUUACAAAUUCAUAAUCACAAGUCAGAUCAACUCAAUUGCUCAAGGCUGUGUAUUUGCAAGUUAGAGUAUACACUGCAAAUUUCCUGUCUUUGGGCCGGUAUACUGAGCAAUGGUACUUUUUAAAAAGAAUUUGCUCAUAUCUUAGAUUUAACAGAGUUGAAAAUGUUUAACCAAUAUCACUCAUGUAAUAUAAAGUGUAAAUUUAAGCAGUGUUCUAGAAAAUUCAAGGCAAAGUAGUUUAAACCAUUUGGCUCUUCCUAGAGGUUCUGAUUUUUUUUUUUAACCUGAAAAAGUAGGUAAUUACUCGAUAGCCUUAGCUCUAAAAUAUAUCUGACAGGUUAUUUUUAUUUGUUUGGUUUUCAGAAAUCAUAUCCAUGUUUUCUACUCUCUGUAGUCUUAGCAAAAUGAAUCAAAGCCACUCUGUAUCCAAAGGUAACACUAUGGUUGUCUUUUUUUUUUUUUUUAACAUUGCAGGCUUUACCUCAAGUGCUAUGCAGUAAAUUUACAGGGAAAGAAAUAUUUUAUUAAAUUAUAACUGAGAGGAGCGGAUUUUUUUUUAUAUAGCAAACAAAAAAUUCCUUCAUGAAAGGUUAUAAAACCGAUAUUAUUUACCAGAGAGACCUUUCCUGUCUCCCAGGUAAACACUUACAGUGUGUAGACUUGUGUAAAUACAUAUUUAGGAGUGGCUAAAUAUGGCGAGGUAUUUUUAAAGCCAUAUUUACAAAGCUGAAUACAUAUAUUGGCAUUUUGGAAUGUGUAAGCUGGGCAUGCUGCUCUGCUGUCUAUUCAGAAUUCUAGCAGGACGCUGCUAGAUACACCUCAGAUAUGGGGACCGAAUUUCAAAACAUUCAUCUUUAAUCAGAAUUACUAAAGACAGGUCCUUAAAUCAUUUCAAAAGGGUGAAAAUUUUCAACUAAUGGAGUUCAAGACUUUCUCACCAGUUUGACUUGAGGAAAAUUGUUUCAGAAAUGCAGGCGUCAUUCAUGGAAAUAAAAUUUCUUUUCUGAA